rnacentral:rRNA from 1 species
GCGGCGUGCUUAACACAUGCAAGUCGAACGGAAAGGCCCUGCUUUUGUGGGGUGCUCGAGUGGCGAACGGGUGAGUAACACGUGAGUAACCUGCCCUUGACUUUGGGAUAACUUCAGGAAACUGGGGCUAAUACCGGAUAGGAGCUCCUGCUGCAUGGUGGGGGUUGGAAAGUUUCGGCGGUUGGGGAUGGACUCGCGGCUUAUCAGCUUGUUGGUGGGGUAGUGGCUUACCAAGGCUUUGACGGGUAGCCGGCCUGAGAGGGUGACCGGCCACAUUGGGACUGAGAUACGGCCCAGACUCCUACGGGAGGCAGCAGUGGGGAAUAUUGCACAAUGGGCGGAAGCCUGAUGCAGCAACGCCGCGUGCGGGAUGACGGCCUUCGGGUUGUAAACCGCUUUCGCCUGUGACGAAGCGUGAGUGACGGUAAUGGGUAAAGAAGCACCGGCUAACUACGUGCCAGCAGCCGCGGUGAUACGUAGGGUGCGAGCGUUGUCCGGAUUUAUUGGGCGUAAAGGGCUCGUAGGUGGUUGAUCGCGUCGGAAGUGUAAUCUUGGGGCUUAACCCUGAGCGUGCUUUCGAUACGGGUUGACUUGAGGAAGGUAGGGGAGAAUGGAAUUCCUGGUGGAGCGGUGGAAUGCGCAGAUAUCAGGAGGAACACCAGUGGCGAAGGCGGUUCUCUGGGCCUUUCCUGACGCUGAGGAGCGAAAGCGUGGGGAGCGAACAGGCUUAGAUACCCUGGUAGUCCACGCUGUAAACGGUGGGUACUAGGUGUGGGGUCCAUUCCACGGGUUCCGUGCCGUAGCUAACGCUUUAAGUACCCCGCCUGGGGAGUACGGCCGCAAGGCUAAAACUCAAAGGAAUUGACGGGGCCCCGCACAAGCGGCGGAGCAUGCGGAUUAAUUCGAUGCAACGCGUAGAACCUUACCUGGGUUUGACAUGGAUCGGGAGUGCUCAGAGAUGGGUGUGCCUCUUUUGGGGUCGGUUCACAGGUGGUGCAUGGCUGUCGUCAGCUCGUGUCGUGAGAUGUUGGGUUAAGUCCCGCAACGAGCGCAACCCUUGUUCACUGUUGCCAGCACGUUAUGGUGGGGACUCAGUGGAGACCGCCGGGGUUAACUCGGAGGAAGGUGGGGAUGACGUCAAGUCAUCAUGCCCCUUAUGUCCAGGGCCUCACGCAUGCUACAAUGGCUGGUACAGAGAGUGGCGAGCCUGUGAGGGUGAGCGAAUCUCGGAAAGCCGGUCUCAGUUCGGAUUGGGGUCUGCAACUCGACCUCAUGAAGUCGGAGUCGCUAGUAAUCGCAGAUCAGCAACGCUGCGGUGAAUACGUUCCCGGGGCUUGUACACACCGCCCGUCAAGUCAUGAAAGUUGGUAACACCCGAAGCCGGUGGCCUAACCGUUGUGGGGGAGCCGUCGAAGGUGGGACUGGUGAUUAGG